rnacentral:lncRNA from 1 species
GAUGAAAGGAAAUCAAGGAAGAUUUUCAGAGGGCAGGUGGGGGGAGGCUGGGGACCUUCCUGUGGGGGCACAAAUCUUGUCCUGUCACUGGAGGAUGCACACAGCUCAUGGAGACCACGUCAACCACCGGCCUAAGGAAAGCAGCGGGAAAGCUAAAGUGUGACGCGGCUUAAGCAGCUUGUCUGAGUUUGCACAGCUGGCAAAUGGCUGAGCCAUGACUCACACCCAGGUCCAUCCACCGCCAAAGCUCCAGAUCUCUGGCAUCCUUCUAAGGUCAGAAAGGGAAAGAAAUCCCUAAUAAGGAGCCUGUGUGACGGCGUGCCCCCCUCCACUUUCCCACCCCUGCCAAGGACCCGUUUGAAGGCUGUUCACGCCAGUCACUGCAAUCACCAUUGAGCACAGAGAUGACAGUUCCAGCAAGCACUGACCUUCCAGCCCACUCUGCGGAGGAGAAGACUGAGGGGCAGAGAGGCUGUUGAUUUGCUGCAGUUGACUCUGACCCUAAUUUCCCGGCGCUGACUCAAACUCAUCAGGAACACUGCUUUCACUGAGUGUAUGAAGUGGUUUCUCCAUCCGUGUGGCUUUACCUGAACUCACACCGGUCCCACGGCCCAGGUGUGGAGCCGAGCACUCCCCUCUGCCUCCUCCCUGGACUGCAGGACCUGUGUCUCGCUUUAUGAAAGAGAUGCCAUUUGGGGAAGACUCGCAUUGUCGGGAGCGCUGUGGACGCUCCAGAAGGAGAUCAACACGAUGAUGACGAUGCCGGGUGGAGGGAAUGUGCACUUCUCGGGAGGAGGAGCCAAAAGCAUUUUGCUGACCUCGGUGCAGAUCAACCCUGCAACAAGGUGCAGAAGAGGCACCAAAGGGGCUUUGUAGCCAGCAACAUGCCAGAUCCAUGCACCUUGUUGAUGCAGCCGACUCUGCAGGGGUGCAGGAGCCUCCUACUCACCUGGCCUCCACCGCCCACCCAGCACCCCUGGGGACUGUCCCCAUCCCCCCAGGGACUCCAGAGGGAAUGUGUUUUGUGCCGUGUGGAAAACAAGCCAUGCUCACUGCACACCACGACAGUCCCUUCAAGCUGUCAGAGUCCCUGCAUGUGGAGUGAAAAGGGGGAAAAAAGACAAUUUACAAUUGCAAAUUGGAACCCCUCUCUCGGAGUGGAGUGAUAAUCCAGCUAGGGAGACAGACGGUGAGGAAGUGCUCCAGGAACAUGUUACAACACAUCACUGCCUAGCAGAGACGAGAGGCUCCAGGAAGGACCUGGUGCCUGCCAUUCCAACCUUGAGGGGCUCCUGGAGGGACGCUGAGGACAAGGCGGCUGUCCCAUCACCUCACUCUUGUCUCUGCCCUCACCUCUCCCCACCGUGCAGGGCUCAGGACUACGGGCGCCCAGACACAAAGGCCCAGAGCCACAGAACAGUGAACUCCACACUGUGCAGCUGUUGGCGGGAGGGGCGGGGAGAGAGACCAGAGUCCCAUUUCUGCUGCCUUUUAAAUAAAAGACAAGGAGGAUGGCGAGGAGGAGGUCAAAACUCACUGCAGUCUAUACCGCGGCACAGAUCCCGACUC